UGGUAUUCUUUUUGGAUUAUUCAUUGGAAGUCUCAUGCUCCUAACUAGAAAGCGAGAAUUCAUUACAAGAUUUAUUGAAGAAGAAGCAUACAAACAUGUAAUGAAGAUCAAAGACAAGAAGAAUAAACUAGUUUUGCAUGUCAAUGGUAAGUAAUCCUGUUACAACUAUAUAUGUAUGUUACGUUUUUGUUUGGUAAGGCAUAAUUAAACAAGUCCAGAUCAGAUGCAUGAACGAAUAAUUGGUGAAGUGUGUUUACUAUCUUUUGCAGCUCGAUUCUCUCCAAAUGACAAAGACUCGGAAAGAGGAUGAUGUUAAAGAAGCAUUUUGGAUUGUUGUAAUAUGAUACGUGUUGCCACAUAUAUGUUAAUCUGAGUUGUAUGAUUUUGGUAUGAUUCCAAAUGUUCAAUUCAGGCAUGAUGAAUACUGUCUUUGUUAGUGUCU